UACGAAGGGGGCGAGCGUUGUUCGGAAUUACUGGGCGUAAAGGGCGCGCAGGCGGUUUGGUAAGACAGCUGUGAAAUCCCCGGGCUUAACCUGGGAAUUGCAUUUGUGACUGCCCGGCUAGAGUGUGUCAGAGGGGGGUAGAAUUCCACGUGUAGCAGUGAAAUGCGUAGAUAUGUGGAGGAAUACCGAUGGCGAAGGCAGCCCCCUGGGAUAACACUGACGCUCAUGCACGAAAGCGUGGGGAGCAAACAGG
rnacentral:rRNA from 1 species